GAUCCUGGCUCAGGACGAACGCUGGCGGCGUGCUUAACACAUGCAAGUCGAACGCUGAAGCCUAGCUUGCUGGGUGGAUGAGUGGCGAACGGGUGAGUAACACGUGAGUAACCUGCCCUCUUCUUUGGGAUAACGCCCGGAAACGGGUGCUAAUACUGGAUAUUCACUGGCCUUCGCAUGGGGGUUGGGUGGGAAAGGGUUUUUUACUUGGUGGGGGAGUGGGCGUCGCGGCCUAUCAGCUUGUUGGUGGGGUGGAUGG
rnacentral:rRNA from 1 species